AUACGUAGGGUGCGAGCGUUGUCCGGAAUGAUUGGGCGUAAAGGGCGCGUAGGCGGCGCGGUAAGUCUGGAGUGAAAGUCCUGCUUUCAAGGUGGGAAUUGCUUUGGAUACUGCCGCGCUUGAGUGCAGGAGAGGUUGUCGGAAUUCCUAGUGUAGCGGUGAAAUGCGUAGAUAUUAGGAGGAACACCAGGGGCGAAGGCGGCUUACUGGACUGUAACUGACGUUGAGGCUCGAAAGCGGGGGGAGCAAACAGGAUUAGAUACCCUGGUAGUCCACGCUGUAAACGAUGAUUACUAGGUGUUGGGGACCAAAGGUCCUCGGUGCCGCCGCAAACGCAUUAAGUAAUCCACCUGGGGAGUACGGUCGCAAGAAUGAAACUCAAAUGAAUUGACGGGG
rnacentral:rRNA from 1 species